rnacentral:tRNA from 1 species
GGAGGCGUGGCAGAGUGGUCGAAUGCGCCGCACUCGAAAUGCGGUAUACCUGAAAGGGUAUCGGGGGUUCAAAUCCCUCCGCCUCCG